AUGUUCGAGUAUGUAAAUGUUGUCAGCAAGAUGUUUGAUAGUGAGGCUGAAGGCUAUGAAUUCUACAACAAAUAUGCUCUUGAAAAAGGUUUUAGUGUGAGGAAAAGCUACGUUGAGUGGGAUGGAUCCAACAAAUACAUAAUUUUAAGGAAAAUUGUGUGUAGUCGUCAAGGGUUUCGCGAAGAUAAGCACAUGAAAAGAAAGAUGGAAGAUAGAAAGAGGAGGCCACGAAGUUUAACUCGUGUUGGGUGUAAUGCUAAAUUGGUCAUUACGAGACAGGAGGAAACCGGUCGGUGGUUUGUCAAGGAUUUCAUCGAUGAGCACAGCCAUCCUCUAGCCCCACGGGAUCUUUCUUGUCUGCUUCGUUCGCACAGACGAAUUAGCGAUGAGCAGAAAGCGGACAUUGCGGACAUGGAAAAUGUGGGAUCCGCAAAUACCGUAUUAUGGAUAUUUUGUGCUUUCAAUACGGUGGAUUUGAUAAGGUUGGAUGCAUGA
rnacentral:rRNA from 1 species